GAAUCCCGGGGCUUAACUCCGGGGCUGCGCUUGAAACUGUCGGUCUGAGUGAGGUAGAGGCAGCGGAAUUCCUAGUGUAGCGGUGAAAUGCGUAGAUAUUAGGAGGAACACCAGUGGCGAAGCGGCUUGCUGGGCCUUAACUGACGCUGAGGCACGAAAGCGUGGGGAGCAAACAGGAUUAGUACCCUGGUAGUCCACGCUGUAAACGAUGAUUGCUAGGUGUGGGGGGUCGACUCCCUCCGGCCGGAGUAAACGCAAUAAGCAAUCCACCUGGGGAGUACGACCGCAAGGUUGAAACUCAAGGAAUUGACGGGGGCCCGCACAAGCAGUGGAGUAUGUGGUUUAAUUCGAAGCAACGCGAAAACCUUACCAGGUCUUGACAUCCAACUAACGAAGUAGAGAUACAUUAGGUGCCCUUCGGGAAAGUUGAGACAGGUGGUGCAUGGUUGUCGUCAGCUCGUGUCGUGAGAUGUUGGGUUAAGCCCGCAACGAGCGCAACCCUUGUCAUUAGUUGCUACGCAAGAGCACUCUAAUGAGACUGCGUUGACAAAACGGAGGAAGGUGGGGACGACGUCAAAUCAUCAUGCCCCUUAUGACCUGGGUACACACGUACUACAAUGGUCGUUAACAGAGGGAAGCAAUCCCGCGAGGAGGAGCAAACCCUAAAAACGAUCCCAGUUCAGAUUGUAGGCUGCAACUCGCCUAUAUGAAGUUGGAAUUGCAGUAAUCGCGGAUCAGCAUGCCGCGGUGAAUACGUUCCCGGGCCUUGUACACACCGCCCU
rnacentral:rRNA from 1 species